UGAGUUGAUCCUGGCUCAGGAUGAACGCUAGCGGCAGGCCUAAUACAUGCAAGUCGAACGGCAGCACGAGAGCUUGCUCUUGGUGGCGAGUGGCGCACGGGUGCGUAACGCGUAUGCAACCUACCCUAAACUGGAGGAUAGCCCGGAGAAAUCCGGAUUAAUACUCCAUAGUAUUACAAGAUGGCAUCUGAAAGUAAUUAAAGAAUUUCGGUUUAGGAUGGGCAUGCGUAAGAUUAGCUAGUUGGUAAGGUAACGGCUUACCAAGGCAACGAUCUUUAGGGGGUCUGAGAGGAUGAUCCCCCACACUGGUACUGAGACACGGACCAGACUCCUACGGGAGGCAGCAGUAGGGAAUAUUGGUCAAUGGGGGCAACCCUGAACCAGCCAUGCCGCGUGAUGGAAGACGGCCUUCUGGGUUGUAAACAUCUUUUAUAUAGGAAGAGAUAGCCACUUGUGGUGAAGAGACGGUACUAUAUGAAUAAGCACCGGCUAACUCCGUGCCAGCAGCCGCGGUAAUACGGAGGGUGUAAGCGUUGUCCGGAAUUAUUGGGUUUAAAGGGUGCGUAGGCGGUCAUUUAAGUCAGAGCUGAAAUGUCUGGGCUUAACCGAGGAACUGGCUUUGAUACUGAAUGACUUGAGUAUUGUUGAGGUAGGCGGAAUUGAUGGUGUAGCGGUGAAAUGCCUAAUAUCAUCAAGAA
rnacentral:rRNA from 1 species